AUUGAACGCUGGCGGCAUGCCUUACACAUGCAAGUCGAACGGUAACAGGUCUUCGGAUGCUGACGAGUGGCGAACGGGUGAGUAAUACAUCGGAACGUGCCUAGCUGCGGGGGAUAAAUACUCGAAAGAGUGGCUAAUACCGCAUGAGAUCGAAGGAUGAAAGCAGGGGAUCGCAAGACCUUGUGCUACUAGAGCGGCCGAUGGGAGAAUAGGGAGUUGGUGGGAUAAAAGCUGACCAAGCCGACGAUCUGUAGCUGGUCUGCUAGGACGAUCAGCCACACUGGGACUGAGACACGGUCCAGACUCCGACGUGAGGCAGCAGUGGGGAAUUUUGGACAAUGGGCGAAGGGCUGAUCCAGCAAUGCCGCGUGCAGGAUGAAGGCGUUCGGGUUGUAAACUGCUUUUGUACGGAACGAAAAGCCCAGGGUUAAUACCCUGGGGUCAUGACGGUACCGUAAGAAUAAGCACCGGCUAACUACGUGCCAGCCGCCGCCGUAA
rnacentral:rRNA from 1 species